rnacentral:rRNA from 1 species
UACGGAGGGAGCUAGCGUUGUUCGGAAUUACUGGGCGUAAAGCGCACGUAGGCGGCUUUGUAAGUUAGAGGUGAAAGCCCGGGGCUCAACCCCGGAACUGCCUUUAAGACUGCAUCGCUUGAAUCCGGGAGAGGUGAGUGGAAUUCCGAGUGUAGAGGUGAAAUUCGUAGAUAUUCGGAAGAACACCAGUGGCGAAGGCGGCUUCCUGGCCCAAUUCUGACGCUGAGGUGCGAAAGCGUGGGGAGCAAACAGG